GGGUCAGUAGGUUGGUCGUGCCACCGGUACGUAGUGGUCUCACUGAUUCCUCCUUCUUGAAGAACCGUAAUGCCAUUAAUUUGGUGUUGCGGGGAAACAGGACUGUUACUUUGAAAAAAUUAGAGUGUUUAAAGCAAGCUAACGCUUGAAUACAUUAGCAUGGAAUAAUGAAAUAGGACGAUCGAUCCUAUUUUGUUGGUUUCUAGGAUUGACGUA
rnacentral:rRNA from 1 species